AACGCGAAGAACCUUACCUGGGUUUGACAUAUACCGCAAAGCUGCACAGACGCCCCCCCCUUUUGGUCGGUAUACAGGUGGUGCAUGGCUGUCGUCAGCUCGUGUCGUGAGAUGUUGGGUUAAGUCCCGCAACGAGCGCAACCCUCGUUCUAUGUUGCCAGCACGUAAUGGCGCGGACUCAUAUGAGACUGCCGGGGUCAACUCGGAGGAAGGUGGGGAUGACCUCCAGUCUUCAUGCCCCUUACGUCCAGGGCUUCAAGCAUGCUACAAUGGCCGGUACAAAGGGCUGCGAAACUGUAAGGUGCACCGAAUCCCAAACAGCCGGUCUCAGUUCGGAUUGGGGUCUGCAACUCGACCCCAUGAAGUCGGAGUCCCUAGUAAUCGCACAUCACCAACGCUGCGGUGAAUACGUUCCCGGGCCUUGUACACACCG
rnacentral:rRNA from 1 species